rnacentral:rRNA from 1 species
CAAUAGCGUAUAUUAACGUUGUUGCAGUUAAAAAGCUCGUAGUUGGAUUUCUGGAGGGAGCGUCGGCCCGUAUUUACGAGUGCGUGACGUCUCUGUCCAUCCUUGCGGGAAGGCACGGCAUUGAUUUGUUGUGUCGGAUCGCAUCAUUUACUGUGAAAAAAUUAGAGUGUUCAAAGCAGGCUUUCGCUUGAAUACAUUAGCAUGGAAUAAUAAGAUAGGACUUCGGUGCUAUUUUGUUGGUUGAGCCUAAAGUAAUGAUUAAUAGGGAUAGUUGGGGGCACCUGUAUUGCGUUGUCAGAGGUGAAAUUCUUGGAUUUACGCAAGACAAACAGCUGCGAAAGCGUCUGCCAAGGAUGUUUUCAUUA